UACGGAGGAUGCAAGCGUUAUCCGGAAUUAUUGGGCGUAAAGCGUCCGCAGGUGGCACUUCAAGUCUGUCGUCAAAGACCGGGGCUUAACCCUGGAAAGGCGAUGGAAACUGAAAGGCUAGAGAGAGGUAGGGGUAGAGGGAAUUCCCAGUGUAGCGGUGAAAUGCGUAGAGAUUGGGAAGAACAUCGGUGGCGAAAGCGCUCUACUGGACCUCAUCUGACACUCAGGGACGAAAGCUAGGGGAGCGAAUGGG
rnacentral:rRNA from 2 species